rnacentral:rRNA from 1 species
GACGAACGCUGGCGGCGUGCCUAAUACAUGCAAGUCGAACGAGUGGCGGACGGGUGAGUAAUGUCUGGGAAACUGCCCGUUGGAGGGGGAUAACUACUGGAAACGGUAGCUAAUACCGCAUACCAUCGGAUGUGCCUAGACGGGCUUGGCUAGUAGGUGGGGUAACGGCUCACCUAGGCGACGAUCCCUAGCUGGUCUGAGAGGAUGACCAGCCACACUGGAACGGAGACACGGUCCAGACGCCUACGGGAGGCAGCAGUGGGGAAUAUUGCACAAGGGGCGCAAGCCUGAUGCAGCCAUGCCGCGUGUAUGAAGAAGGCCUUCGGGUUGUAAAGUACUUUCAGCGAGGAGGCGUUACUCGCAGAAGAAGCACCGGCUAACUCCGUGCCAGCAGCCGCGGUAAUAC